AUACUUACCUGCCAGGGAGACACCAUGAUCAGGAAGGGGGUUUUCCCAGGGCGAGGCUCACCCAUUGCACUGCGGGUAUGCUGACCCCUGCAAUUUCCCCAAAUGCGGGAAACUCGACUGCAUAGUUUGUGGUAGUGGGGGACUGCGUUCACGCUCUCCUCUG
rnacentral:snRNA from 1 species